GCCUAGCAGAAAACUAGCUGGACAAAGACUAUGAAAGACGGAGCUUUGGUAGUUUUUUUCCUACCAAAGCCAAUAGAAAUUUAUAUUUUCAUAAAGAGGAGAAAAUUCUGGCUUCAGGAGAUUUCUGGUUUUGCCUAAAGUUAUCAAUAAACUCCUCUUUCAAAAAAAAAUUAAAUGGGGUUUCAUGUAGCCCAGGCUGUCCUUGAACUCAUUGUAUAGUGCCGGCUGGCCCUGAGCCUCUCAGCUCCCUUUUGACUCCUGAUUGCUGGGGUGAGAAGCAUGUGCCACCAUGGAUACUUUGUGUCAUGCUGGGGAUGGAACCGAGGGCUUUGAGUGUGUUAGUUGAGCACCCCGUCCACGGAGCCACAAUUCCAGCCUUUGGGCUUUAUCCAUGAGGAUCAAUAGCAACUCUAAUCUGUUAAGGUUCUCAACGUAAGUGAACCGGAGCUUCCUUGGGCUUCACGAACAGAUACAGUCUUCAGAGAUGAUUGCAGAGAGCUGCAAGGGAUCACCCAAAUUCUUUGCAUAACUACCAAUAAAACUCCCAUAAAACCCAGAGGAAUCUCAUAAAUAACUGGGCCUCUAACGCCACUGGGCAACUGGAAAAGCAAAUAGUGAGAAUGAAGUGGACUCAAUGACGAGGCGUUUGGACUUCUAAUAUUCUUUCACGGGGGGUUGGGGUGGAAUGCAGCACACGCGCCUGGAGGACCUGCUUGCGUGGGAGCUUCGUUAACAGAAACGGGCCCCGUAAUGAAAGGCACACAAGGUAUCGAGUUACUAAAUGGCUUUUAGCCUCUUGAAACUCAAGCGAAGGAAAAUCUCAUUCAUCUGAACUCUGCUAAUAGUGGAAUUUGUUACAAUUCGACCUGGCUAAACUGCACUUUACCAUGGGAUUACCCAGGAAGGCAAGUUGACCAGAGAACAGCUAUGCUAGAAGGCUGCUCAGGACAGAGCUUAGAUGCAAGCCCAGCUAAGAAGUUGUCUUAAAUCACUCAGUGUCUCACUUUCCUAAAUCACCCCUUGCUGAAUCCAGAAGAAGUGUGCCGUCAACGCUGACUUGAUCGAAGGGGAGCCAUUCUUACCCAGAAACCCUUUCAUCGUUAAGUUCUCCUUUGCCCUUGAGAGAAAGAAAAGUUCUCCCAGCACCUGGGAAAAGGAAGCAGGAGAAACUAAGAGGAGCCGUUCAAGGACCUCCUCAGCUGCAGACAGAAGACUCUGUCACAAAAAACAAAGGGGAGAGCAGUUGAAGAAGCCUUCUCUUCUACCCCCAGGCAGACCUGCCUGCUCCCAGCAGCGCUCAGGCAUGAAGGAAGGUUUGCUUGAAGCAGGAAGAUCUGUCAUUUCAAGCACAAAGGAGGUCUGGAACUGCAGGAGACAACUCCUUCCAACUCACCACUUUCUGGUUUCUUCUCGCCGUGCUUGGAACCAGAAAAGGGUUGAAGAAGAGAGGAAAUAAAACUCCACCCAGAGAAAAGUCCGGGAAACAUUCCUGCCUGCAGCAAGACCUGAGUCCAUCAGGGUCAGGCUCCUGCAGUACGGCCCGCCGGAGGGAUCUGUAGCAAACUUAUCUGACCCCCUCUUCCAUCACAUCCCACCCCACCGGCGAGCACAGCUCUGUCCCUGCCUCAGAACUUUGGGCUCCAACGCGUUUAUCAGAGAGUUGGGUUUUCAAGCUCUGUCUCCCCACCGCCGCCGCCGCCGCCGCCACCAUGAACACCCGCCAGAGUUGGCAGUCUGUAAUAUGCAAAAAUCCACCCAGAAAUGGAAGAGGGGACAUUUGCACAAGCUGGGUUGUGUCUACAGAAUUAGAAGGCACAGUUGGACUAAUUUUAGUGCCGAAAAAUUGGAAACACUGGGAAUAAGGCCCGGUGGGGAAAUGUGGGUUCUUGAAGCCGCUCGGAGAAGAGCCAGUGGGGAUUUAGGGGGUGGGUAUCUGGAGCCCCUGACUUGGCUGGAAGCUCAGGGUUGCAGAAGGGUUAAAUGUCCCAUAGGCCCCAGGUUAGAGGCCUGGGGUGGUGGGCUCCCUUGUCCUGGCUUCCCAGAUAUAUCUGCUUUCCUUGUGUCGCCAGCCAU
rnacentral:sRNA from 1 species